rnacentral:lncRNA from 1 species
GGGUGGCUAUGUAAACAGAAUAAUUUCUUUUUCAAUGACCCAACUUCUUACAAAAGAAGCAUUUUGUUUGGCUCUUAUUGACUUUCAACGUUUUGCUCUGCUUAGGAUCGACGGCAUGAGUUUUUUGUACCUUUUUUUUUUCUCCUAAAGAUUGAUGACCUAUAGAUGAACCUCCCACAAUAUGCACCUACUCUUUCUAAAGCUGGUGACCUUUUUAAAAGUCUACAGCAAUCUUAACAAAUCAUGAUAGUUCACUGCAGGCUUCGUCAUUCUGUAAUAACUGAGGAAAGAUAGGUAGGAUUUUGAUAACGAGUUGAGAAUAGCAUUCUUGCCUAACUGUUCAUGCAAUGGAAAGCCAAAUUUACUCAGGCGUUCAAUCUGCUCAAUUAUGUACAACACAUGAUCGGUGACUGAAGCCCCCUCUCGUAUAUAGGCAUUGAACACCGCACAGGAGGUUUUGUGUCUCUCCACAUUCUUAGGGGUGCCAAAGGACUCAUUCAACAUUUGAAUGAUCUCCUUUGGCUGUGCAUCCUUGAACUUAUAGCUAAGUUCAUCAUUCAUCACUGUCCUCAUCACACAACGCACAGUCGUGCGGUCAUUAAGCCACUUUACGUAAGUGUCUCUCACAGCACGAGUUACAUAAGUGUCUCUCACAGCACGAGCGUUGGCAGCAGGUUCUUCAGGUGCCUCAUCCGUAAGGACAUAUAGAAUCCUCUCGUGCUCCAAGAUGAUCUUCAACUUUCAAUACCAGUUAUCGAAGUUGGAUCCGAUGAGCUUGUCGCUGUCCAAC